rnacentral:rRNA from 1 species
GACGAACGCUGGCGGCGUGCUUAACACAUGCAAGUCGAACGGAAAGGCCCUGCUUGUGUGGGGUGCUCGAGUGGCGAACGGGUGAGUAACACGUGAGUAACCUGCCCUUGACUUUGGGAUAACUUCAGGAAACUGGGGCUAAUACCGGAUAGGAGCUCCCGCUGCAUGGUGGGGGUGGGAAAGUUUCGGCGGGUGGGGAUGGACUCGGGGCUUAUCAGCUUGGUGGUGGGGUAGUGGCUUACCAAGGCUUUGACGGGUAGCCCGCCUGAGAGGGUGAACGGGCACCAUGGGGCCGGGAUACCGGCCAGACCUCCAACGGGAGCAAGAGGUGGGAAUAAUGGACCAAUGGUCGGAGGCCGAAUGCACAAAGCCCGCGGGCGGGAUGCCGGCCUUGGGUUGGUAAACGGUUUCCCCCUGGGACAAAGCGUGAGUGACGGUAAUGGGUAAAGAAGCACCGGCUAACUACGUG